GACGAACGCUGGCGGCGUGCUUAACACAUGCAAGUCGAACGGAGUGGCGAACGGGUGAGUAACAUGUGGGGGAUCUUCCCUGCACUUCGGGUUAAGCUUGGGAAACUGGGCCUAAUACCGGAUAUUGCAAGAUGGGCUCGCGGCCUAUGGGCUUGUUGGUGGGGUAAUGGCCUACCAAGGGGUCGACGGGUAGCCGGCCUGGGAGGGUGUACGGGGACAUUGGGCCUGAGCUACGACGCAGGGUCCUACAGGAGGCAACGGUGGGAAGUAUUGCACAAUGAGCGGGAGCCUGAUGCAGCGGCGCCGCGUGGGGGAUGAAGGCCUUCGGGUUAUGAACUCCUUUCGGCAGAGACGCGGUACCUGUAUAAGAAGCACCGGCUAACUACGUGCCAGCAGCCGCGGUAAUAC
rnacentral:rRNA from 1 species